rnacentral:rRNA from 1 species
GACGAACGCUGGCGGCGUGCUUAACACAUGCAAGUCGAACGGAAAGGCCCUGCUUUUGUGGGGUGCUCGAGUGGCGAACGGGUGAGUAACACGUGAGUAACCUGCCCUUGACUUUGGGAUAACUUCAGGAAACUGGGGCUAAUACCGGAUAGGAGCUCCUGCUGCAUGGUGGGGGUUGGAAAGUUUCGGCGGCUGGGGAUGGACUCGCGGCUUAUCAGCUUGUUGGUGGGGUAGUGGCUUACCAAGGCUUUGACGGGUAGCCGGCCUGAGAGGGUGACCGGCCACAUUGGGACUGAGAUACGGCCCAGACCCCUACGGGAGGCAGCAGUGGGGAAUAUUGCACAAUGGGCGGAAGCCUGAUGCAGCAACGCCGCGUGCGGGAUGACGGCCUUCGGGUUGUAAACCGCUUUCGCCUGUGACGAAGCGUGAGUGACGGUAAUGGGUAAAGAAGCACCGGCUAACUACGUG